rnacentral:rRNA from 1 species
UUGAACGCUGGCGGAAUGCUUUACACAUGCAAGUCGAGCGGCAGCGCGGGGGCAACCCUGGCGGCGAGCGGCGAACGGGUGAGUAAUACAUCGGAACGUACCCAGUUGUGGGGGAUAGCCCGGCGAAAGCCGGAUUAAUACCGCAUAAGUCCUGAGGGAGAAAGCGGGGGACCGUAAGGCCUCGCGCGAUGGGAGCGGCCGAUAUCGGAUUAGCUAGUUGGUGAGGUAAAGGCUCACCAAGGCGACGAUCCGUAGCUGGUCUGAGAGGACGACCAGCCACACUGGAACUGAGACACGGUCCAGACUCCUACGGGAGGCAGCAGUGGGGAAUUUUGGACAAUGGGGGCAACCCUGAUCCAGCCAUUCCGCGUGAGUGAAGAAGGCCUUCGGGUUGUAAAGCUCUUUCGGCAGGAACGAAACGGUGGUCCUUAAUACGGGCUACUAAUGACGGUACCUGAAGAAGAAGCACCGGCUAACUACGU